rnacentral:rRNA from 1 species
AAGUCGUAACAAGGUUUCCGUAGGUGAACCUGCGGAAGGAUCAUUAAUGAGAAACUGCCCCUCGCGGGUAGAUCUCCCACCCUUUGUAAACUUACCUUUGUUGCUUUGGCAGGCCCGUCUCCGGACCGCCGGCUUCGGCUGGCCAGCGCCUGCCAGAGGAUUCUAAAACUCUGUCUGUCAGUGUUGUCUGAGUCUAUAUACAAUCGUUAAAACUUUCAACAACGGAUCUCUUGGUUCUGGCAUCGAUGAAGAACGCAGCGAAAUGCGAUAAGUAAUGUGAAUUGCAGAAUUCAGUGAAUCAUCGAAUCUUUGAACGCACAUUGCACCCUCUGGUAUUCCGGAGGGUAUGCCUGUUCGAGCGUCAUUUCAACCCUCAAGCUCUGCUUGGUAUUAGGUCGCGCCGGUAAUGCGGCGGGCCUCAAAAUCAGUGGCGGUGCCAUCUGGCUUCAAGCGUAGUAGUUACAUCUCGCUUCCGGAGAUCCAGGUGGUUGCUGGCCAGCGAACCCCAUACUUCUAAGGUUGACCUCGGAUCAGGUAGGGAUACCCGCUGAACUUAA